UCAACAGUUUGAUAGCUAAAGGGAAAGGUACACAUGCCUCUCUUUUGAAUAUCUCUUCUUCCGCCAGGCAGUUUACAGAAGAUCACCUCUAUCAAUUAUUAAGUUGCUGUGUUUAAUAGGCACCACACGAGGCAGCACUUAAAGCUGCCCUUCAAAAAGAAAGACAAGGAAAAGCUUCCGCCUUACAGCUUGGCAAAGGAAAAGCAUAAGUCACCCAAAGUGAAAAACUUCAGCAAAUACAGAAAGAAGGAGCUAUUUUUCCACCAGAGACUCAAGAUUUUGAAAAAUUUAAGAAGGUUCCAGAUGCUCAGUUGGAAGAAACAGUUUCAGAAGAAAAAUCUACUAAGAAGUUAGCUGGAGGCUCUCCACUCAAAGCCCAUGAGAAAGAGAAGGUGCUCUUGCAGCAAUGAGUGGAUAGUGGAAAGCUAAAGUCGACAUAUUAUCAUCACCUCUGAUUAUAAUUGUUAAAGUCUCUUGAGUCUACAGAGAUCCUGCACCCAACAUUUCUACCAUCUCCCAAAAUGGCACCACCAAUGAGGGAGCAAGCAUUCAGAACACCAGGCACAGAGACCAUCACACACUCAAAUCAUAUUGUGAAGCAUCUGAGGAAAUGAAGUAAGACUGUCUGUUCCUUUCUGCUGCAUUGUGUUGCUGGGGUCUUUUGUGAACUCUAGAGCUGGAAUGGUGGCCUUCCAUGUGAU
rnacentral:lncRNA from 1 species